GACGAACGCUGGCGGCGUGCUUAACACAUGCAAGUCGAGCGGUAAGGCCCUUCGGGGUACACGAGCGGCGAACGGGUGAGUAACACGUGGGUGACCUGCCCUCAGCUCUGGGAUAAGCCUGGGAAACCGGGUCUAAUACCGGAUAGGACCUGCCACUGCAUGGUGGAGGGUGGAAAGUUUUUUCGGCUGGGGAUGGGCCCGCGGCCUAUCAGCUUGUUGGUGGGGUGAUGGCCUACCAAGGCGGUGACGGGUAGCCGGCCUGAGAGGGCGUCCGGCCACACUGGGACUGAGACACGGCCCAGACUCCUACGGGAGGCAGCAGUGGGGAAUAUUGCGCAAUGGGCGGAAGCCUGACGCAGCGACGCCGCGUGGGGGAUGACGGCCUUCGGGUUGUAAACCGCUGUCAGGGGGGAUGAAAGCCGCAAGGCUUGACAGAGCCCCAGAGGAAGCACGGGCUAAGUUCGUGCCAGCCGCCGCAGUAAGAC
rnacentral:rRNA from 1 species